CCGGCAAUAGUGCAUUCGGGUGCCGAAAUGCACCCGUUUUGCAUCAUUUUUCGUGCCGGAACCGAAUGCCCAAAAACACUCCCAAACAUGUUCUAGUGUAUAUUUAGGAAGAUUGCAUGCGUUCGUUGCGAAAAAAUCCACCCGAGUUUCGCUACCCGGCAAUAGUGCAUUCGGGUGCCGAAAUGCACCCGUUUUGCAUCAUUUUUCGUGCCGGAACCG
rnacentral:lncRNA from 1 species